UGGGGAAUAUUGCACAAUGGGGGAAACCCUGAUGCAGCAACGCCGCGUGAAGGAUGAAGGUUUUCGGAUUGUAAACUUCUUUAGUCAGGGACGAAUAAAUGACGGUACCUGAAGAAUAAGCCACGGCUAACUACGUGCCAGCAGCCGCGGUAAUACGUAGGCAGCAAGCGUUGUUCGGAGUUACUGGGCGUAAAGAGUGCGUAGGCGGUUUUCUAAGUUCGGUGUGAAAUCUCCCGGCUUAACUGGGAGGGUGCGCCGAAGACUGGGAAGCUGGAGUGUGGGAAAGGCUGGCGGAAUUCCGGGUGUAGCGGUGAAAUGCGUAGAUAUCAGGAGGAACACCGGCGGUGUAGACGGCUUGCUAGACCAUAACUGACGCUGAGGCACGAAAGCGUGGGUAGCAAACA
rnacentral:rRNA from 1 species